AACGUAGGAGACAAACGUUAUUCGGAAUUACUGGGCUUAAAGGGUUUGUAGGCGGCCUUGUAAGUCAGGUGUGAAAUCCCUCGGCUCAACCGAGGAACGGCGCUUGAUACUGCAAGGCUUGAGGGAGACAGGGGUAAGCGGAACCGAUGGUGGAGCGGUGAAAUGCGUUGAUAUCAUCAGGAACACCGGUGGCGAAAGCGGCUUACUGGGUCUCUUCUGACGCUGAGGAACGAAAGCUAGGGUAGCGAACGGG
rnacentral:rRNA from 1 species